CCCCUUUUAGUGAUUAAAAGAAAAUACAAAAGAGUCUUUGAGAUCAUAGAUAAAAGGUGGGAUAGUAAGCUUCAUAGCCCAGUGUCUAGCCGUUCGCCGAAGGAAGGGAUUCUUUAUCAAAGUCUCCGACAUGCAGCUGGACUUGUUUUGAACCCGGAACUGUUUUACGCCAAUGAAAGAGGAUUCUAGGAGAUGAACCUUUGUGGAGUGGAUACUAUGAAUGCAUUGAGAAGUUGAUACCUGAAGAAUCCGUGCAAGAUAAAAUUACAGAGCAAUUUAGUAUUUAUAGGAACGCUGAACAACUUUUUGGAAAUAACAUGGCCAUUAGACAGAGAACGACGAAGUCACCAAGUGAGCGAGGGCUUAUAUGUUGAUUUAUAGUUAAUAAGUUAUUCUUUACUAAUAUUAUGUUUUCAAAAAUUUGUUAUACUUCUACAGUUGAAUGGUGGAAGCAAUAUGGUCAUUCCACUCCAGAUUUACAAAAGUUUGCCAUAAAGGUUCUAAGUCUAACAUGUAGUUCAUCCGGAUGUGAAAGUAAUUGGAGCGUGUUUGAGCAUGUAAUAACUAAGAAGAAAUAUUUAGUAUAUUGAGAUAAUUAAAUUAAAUCUCAAUUGUUCUAAUCUUACUAAUUACUUAUUAUUUGCAGAUUCCUACCAAAAAGAGGAACAAACUAACCUUGAAGCGUCUCAAUGAUCUAGUCUUCAUUAAGUACAAUAGAA
rnacentral:lncRNA from 1 species